GGGCCCGUAGCUCAGCCUGGUUGGAGCGCUGGUCUUAUAAGCCAGUGGUCCGGGGUUCAAAUCCCUGCGGGCCCA
rnacentral:tRNA from 1 species